UACGUAGGGAGCUAGCGUUGUCCGGAAUCAUUGGGCGUAAAGCGCGCGUAGGCGGCCCGGUAAGUCCGCUGUGAAAGUCAAAGGCUCAACCUUUGAAUGUCAGCGGAUACUGCCGGGCUAGAGUCCGGAAGAGGCGAGUGGAACUCCUGGUGUAGCGGUGGAAUGCGCAGAUAUCAGGAAGAACACCAAUGGCGAAGGCAGCUCGCUGGGACGGUACUGACGCUGAGGCGCGAAAGCGUGGGGAGCAAACAGG
rnacentral:rRNA from 1 species